CCUACGGGUGGCAGCAGUAGGGAAUCUUGCGCAAUGGGCGAAAGCCUGACGCAGCGACGCCGCGUGAGGGAUGAAGGCCUUCGGGUUGUAAACCUCUUUCAGCAGGGACGAAGCGAAAGUGACGGUACCUGCAGAAGAAGGUCCGGCCAACUACGUGCCAGCAGCCGCGGUAAUACGUAGGGACCGAGCGUUGUCCGGAUUUAUUGGGCGUAAAGAGCUCGUAGGCGGCCGUCCACGUCGGGUGUGAAAGCUCGGGGCUCAACCCUGAGAGGCCAUUCGAUACGGGACGGCUCGAGGCAGCUAGGGGAGAUUGGAAUUCCUGGUGUAGCGGUGAAAUGCGCAGAUAUCAGGAGGAACACCGGUGGCGAAGGCGGAUCUCUGGGGCUGUUCUGACGCUGAGGAGCGAAAGCUGGGGGAGCAAACAGGAUUAGAUACCCCAG
rnacentral:rRNA from 1 species